AUGGAGCGACGCCAAAUGCAGCCCCCACGCCGCGAGAAUGACAAAUGUACGAACGAGCACACACUUGCCGGAAAAACUUCAAGCUUGAAACUUGAGAGUCUGUGCCCGUACCUUUCGGCGCUCCGUCCUCGUACCAGCAGGAGAGAAAACGAAGACGGCGAGCGCUUUGCGUCACGUGCCCGCGGACGAGGCCGGAGCGCCAAGGAAGGAACGCGCCGCCGCCGCACACGCGUCCGUCCGCCCGGCGGCUCGCCCGUCCACCUCGUAUCGCCUUCCGCUGCCAUCUCGUUCUCGUACCUGCCGUGA
rnacentral:rRNA from 1 species